AUUGAACGCUGGCGGCAGGCCUAACACAUGCAAGUCGAGCGGCAGCGGGAAGUAGCUUGCUACUUUGCCGGCGAGCGGCGGACGGGUGAGUAAUGUCUGGGAAACUGCCUGAUGGAGGGGGAUAACUACUGGAAACGGUAGCUAAUACCGCAUAAUGUCGCAAGACCAAAGAGGGGGACCUUCGGGCCUCUUGCCAUCAGAUGUGCCCAGAUGGAAUUAGCUAGUAGGUGGGGUAACGGCUCACCUAGGCGACGAUCCCUAGCUGGUCUGAGAGGAUGACCAGCCCCACUGGACCUGAGGCACGGUCCAGACUCCUACGGGAGGCAGCAGUGGUGAAUAUUGCACAAUGGGCGCAAGCCUGAUGCAGCCAUGCCGCGUGUAUGAAGAAGGCCUUCGGGUUGUAAAGUACUUUCAGCGGGGAGGAAGGUGUUGAGGUUAAUAACCUCAGCAAUUGACGUUACCCGCAGAAGAAGCACCGGCUAACUCCGUGCCAGCCGCCGCGGUAA
rnacentral:rRNA from 1 species